UGAACAGACCAAAGGCGUGAAAAUGCGGCUCAGCUGUGCUUGGCUGGCGGUCGGCCUGUUUUUGCACAUGUUCCCGUACCGCCUGCACUCCGCUUUCCAGAUGGUGCGACCCUUAUUGCAGGGGCUAAUGGAGCGGAGACACAAGGUCACGACGAUCACACUUUUGAGAUUACAGGCAGCCAUUCCAGGAGUACACCACAUUUGCGUGACAAUGCUGAACAAGCAUAUGCAGGUUUUUGGAUUUAUUGGGACACAAAUGGCAGGAGGGAGGAAAAAGACAAACAACAGAAUUGCAACAACAAUAUUUGCUGAAGAGUGUAAGAAUAAAAGAUUAUUAUAAUUUUUUUAUUAUUUCCCAAGGGUGAGAAACUUUCAAGAUAAAACCUGACGAAUUAAAGUACUUAUUAAAUAACAACAAGGUUAACAAGGUUAUUAAAUUAUUUGAAAUAUUUCUGUAUGUGUGUGUAUGUCUUAAAAGAAUGCUUAACAUUUUGACUGAUUGCUGGAUCGAUAUUCCAAUUGAGCUCAACAGUAGAAUGGUAAUAGAAAAUCGUGUCAAAAUUUUAAUAAAGUGAAAUCACAAAAAAAUCAUAUACAUUUGUAAAUAGUUUUUUGAAUAAUUUAUAAUUUUCAUAGCUAAUUUUAAGACAAAAAGCCCAUAACUAAAAAUUACAAACAAAAGCUGUUAUUGGGCGAUAAGGUUUGAUAACAAUAUUUUAUCAAUUUUGCAAAACAAUGAGCGCUCUCUUUUAAUUUGGAAAACUAUGAGAACAUUCAAAUUAUCAACCUACCUUGAAAAAGCGAACUCAGCUUUUAUAGGUUCGACGACAGUUUAGAUUAGAUUGUGGUCAGUUGUGGAUGGAGUUCCGACAUGGGCGGAAUAAAAGCGUGAAAAUGCGCCUCAUAUCUGCAUGGUCGGCACUGGUCGUGUGCCUUUUUUUGCAACCGAAUCUGUACCAUGACCUGGCCCGGGCGGCCAACAUACUGGGCAUAUUUCCAUAUCACUGCGAGGCCCCCUUUCUGGUCGUGCGGCCGUUGGUUCAGGCAUUAUUAAAACGAGGACACAAUGUGACGCUAAUCACACCAGAAGGCCUGCUGCCCGACAUCGAGGGAGUCCGGCAUUUACGGGUUUCCAAGGUAAACCAGCACAUGCAGGAAAUGCGACUACCGCUCGCUGGCAACCAUUUUAUCUUUAACCUGCAUACAUUUGGUAUCCACCUAGAUAUUUACUUAAUUAAAGAAGUUAUAUAUAGAAACGAUUCUU